CGCUGGGGCUGCUGUAGUCGGGGUAGCCGCCGCCGUAGCUCCUCAUCAUGGGGCUGGGCGAGGGAACGGGACGAAGGUGGCAAAGGAGUCUGACGAGCAGACAAAAGAGGGAGAAGGGCCGGGAACAAAGUUGUCCGUUGUCCUCCCAGGUGAGGAGGAGCCGGCGGAGAAAGGAGAUCUGGGAGCCGUCUGUGCGGAAGCUCUGCUCUCCCGGCGGUUACGUAACCUGUCGAAGGGCGCCUCUCGCCUCUCCGCCUGGAUUUGGGGCCAUCGGCGCAAUUCCCCCCCUUCUUCAAACUCACAAUUAGGAGGAGUUAGUGAGGGUUAGCCACAGCUGAGGAGCACUGUCCCCCGUACGCACUUGAGUGCCUGCCCCAAAGGCGAUGUUAAUUAACCAUUUUUAAGGCACCUCAUGUAUAUAUGUCGGGUUAUCAGUGAAAACUCGAAAUCGUAUUCCUAACGGAGCGUCUUUCUCACACUUGCCUGUCCUCCCUCUGAAAGGAGAGCCUCCUCCCGUAAGAAGAGUGUGUUGGCACCCAGACAACUUGCACAUGGAAAUGUAACUCUCGGUGCCAGAAGUAGGGACUCUGCGGCCCAUCUCAGACCUUGAUCAAUCCGUAUGACACCUUUCCCCAUGUCUCAGAGGGUAAUAUUCACAGUUAACCUUCUUGAGAGGAGUUCAUUUCUAAGUAAUUUAAAACAUGUUAUAUUUAAUAAACAUAAGAUCAAUAAUAAUAUAAAUCGAUCAUAUCUAAUCCUAGAGUAGAAAUGUUUCAUGCUUUGUUCUUUAAACAAUACUCUAUUGUUUUACCACUUUACGGUAUUUUAAGUGUGUUUAUUGUUCAUUUAUUACCAAGUAACACCUUGAAUAUCUUCAAAAAGCCUCCUUAGCCUAAGCAAUGGCUCCCUUGCACUAGUGUGGACUCAGUUUUCAUGGACGGAAAGCAUUGGAAACCAGAGCUUUCAAGAGGUCACACCAGCUGAAAUAAUAGAUAUGAUUUUGGUAGAAUGGAGUUUUGUAAAACGAUUUCAUUCUCCAGCUUUUCAUAAAGACUAUUUCAGUUUA